CGCACAGAGAGAAAGUGAGAGACAGAUAAAAUGAAUUUGUUCAGUGAUUUUUUUUUAAGUGGCUUAAGCACUUUUUAACAGAGGAAAUUAAUUUUUAAAAAUCCAAAAUUUAUCAGCACUUUAAAGUACAUUCAGUGUGAUAAGAUAGAUAAAUACAUAAAUAGAGAAAAGUUUUAAAAUGGAUUGCCAGAUAAAGAAAGUUUGCGAAUUUGAAUAGGUUUGUCUUCUGUUUGUACAUGUGAAUUUUACCAGAACCCUUACUCACAAGAUAGGAAGAAACUCAUAUAUUAAUAAACAGUUUAAAUAAGUAGUGCAGCGAAUACAUUCGUAAAGAUAAACAUAUAAAACAAAGAAAGGGAAGAGAAAAAAAAUGAGAGAAAUUACGAAAAUGUGGCUAAAUAUGUGUCUAUCUUCAUAUGUUUUUCUAGCCAGACCAAACAAAUCGACUCGCCGACCAAAGUAUGACUCGGCAUGUAUCAUUCAACCUUUUAAUCUACCUUUAAGAUUUUCUGGAUUAGUGAGGUCAAUGUUCAGCUUUCACAUCUGCAAGGAGGAAGUCCAGAGGAUUACAGUUUGGGAUAGAAAAGAUUGUAGUAACCAGGAAGUAAGAUAAUGACCUAGAAGCUAUACAGCUAAUUAGCUCAAUGAACAGGAGACAAAAAAAGAUAUAAUCACCUGUAUGUACAAUGUGUUAUCAGAAAGUUCUGGACUGCACGUCAUGGAAUUGUUUUCACCCAAAAUGCUUGUGCAGUUGAUCAUCCUUAGUUGCCAACCUUCAGUCACAAAUUAGCUUCAUGCUGUUUAUGUGUUCAAUUAUUACAUUAAGUUUUGCAACAUCGUAUUAGAACAGCAGCUCUAUGAUUCUCACAAUGCCUGACAAAUUUAAGCAGUAUGACUGCAUCAAAUUUUGCGUGAAGCUCGGCAAAUCUGCUAUCAAGACCUUCAAAAUGCUUUCUUGAGCCUUUAACGAACGUUCGUUUAAUUAAACACUAGUUUUUGAGUGUUGUGUGUGUCUUGAGACAGUUGACUGUUGGGUUAGAUCAAGACAAUGAGCAGAGUGACCUAUCACUGGUAAAACAUCAAGAAUAUUUCAGAAGACUAAUGAUGCACAUACAAAAACAGUAUUACUUUUGUGAGAAACUAGCAACAAACUUUGUAGACAUGCAAUGCAUGUUCAUAUUUUCCAAGAAAAAUUUUUAACAAACUUUGUAAAUGAUUCCAGUUAUAGAGUUGACAGUUUGUUUUGUAGUGAUUGUCAUUGGACGAGUUCACAAAAUUGUUCCAUAGUUUCUAGGGAUUGGUUGUCCUGAACAACCGUUAUCUUAAACUAACAACCAACUAGUCUUGAAACACAGGUGCCAUUCAAAAGUUUUUGCUUGACUUAAAGAAUGUUCAGCAAAAUCUUGGUGAAGCAUAUCAGAGGUUUUGAUAUCAGAUUUACCAAAUUCUAUGCAGUUUUUAUUUAGCACGAAACAAAAUCUUUUUACUAAUUUGUCAGUCAUUGUAAAAAUUGCCUCAUCAUUCCAACACAAUGUUAUAAAGCCUAACGUAAUAACUGAAUAUAAGGUGGGUAGCAUGAAGCCUGUUUUGUAGGCUGGCUACCUAUGAUCAUCAGUUAUGCACACAACUCCAUUGAACUGUAUACACACAGCAUGUGCAGUGCAGAACCAUUCUAAUAGCAUCUCGUACAUUACACAAAUAUGAUAGGAGUAACAAACAUGAACUAUUAAACCAGUCAAACAGUUAUCCAUUUGAUCAUCUAUAAACAACUGGAGAAAAUAAUGUGUUUAAUCUUGUGUUUUAUCUUUAUGAUAGCUUGCAAGAUUCAAUCCAUUGUUGUUAGGUGUCUCCAAAUUGAAUGAUGAGCAACUGGAGCCAUUGCUAUGAAGUGGUAGUUUUAUUUCUAGAGUAUUGGAAAAUAUGCUUCCAGGAUGAGGAAAAGAAAAGGUUGUUUUUUUUUUAUAUAUAUAUAUUUUAUUUUGACCUAAGGGUAACACUUCUGACAUUCAUGAGAGAUUGAGAAGAAGAAGUCACAACUUAUGGUAACCUCUACAUUGCUCUUUGUAAGCAUCAAGUCUGAAAGUCAGUUAUCACUGGUGGGCCUACCAGCACAUAGGUCAACAUCCUGAGCCAUUAGUCAUAAGGUCAGGCCCAUGUAUCUGGUGACAGACCUUUGCCAGAGAACAACUUCCACAUCCUUUUAACAAACAAUUGUGCUACACAAGUGAAGGUGCAGUGCAACAAAAUAUUGAAUUAUCCUCAGCCUGAAGUGAUAUCAAGUUACCUUCAAUAGAGUUUCUAUGUCAUACCAUUUCUGUAGUAUUUAUAACUGCAUAAAUGAAACAAAGCCAAUUUGUGUUGAAUGACAAUCAUUAAUGUAAUUUAAAAUGCUGAGAAUGUUUAAAUAACAUGAAAUAUGUUUUGAUGUUAAAUUCUUACAAUUAUUGCAGAUUUAAAAGCUUUGCAUUUUGUUUUGUUUUUCCACUCAAAAAAAAAAA
rnacentral:lncRNA from 1 species